rnacentral:tRNA from 1 species
AUUGGCUCACUGGGUUAGAGCAUGGUACUAGCAACACCAGGGUUGUGGGUUCAAUUCCCACAU